UGUGGUUACAAUAGCAGAGAGGAUACACCUGUUCCCAUUUCUAUCACAGAAGUUACUCCCCCUAGCGCUGCUGGUACUCGGUGGGAUCCUGCCUGGGAAGGUGGGACGUAGCUACGU
rnacentral:rRNA from 1 species